UACUCCUCGAGAGCUGAGAGUGGCGGGGAAUCCGGGGCAGGGGCAGGGGAGAGGCGCGACCGCUGAGUCAGUCGAUGGCGGAACACUGACCACGUGCCUGCCACGCCAGUCGUCGUGGGAGCAGCCGCGAGCCAGACAAGAUGAGGAACCUGAGGCUCCAAAGAGCUGAAGUCCCACAGCCUGCUCCUGAUGGAGAGAGGGUUUGAGGCCAGGCCUGUCUACCUGGGAAGACAGAGGCUCCAGUUACUGGAGUAAUCUCCACUCAUCCACCCCAAGAAGGCCAUCGAAGCCUCUGGAAGAGCAUGGAAGGUUGGGCUCACGAGGCUGAGGUGGCCAGGCCCUCACUCCCUCCACUCAGCCUCGCUGGGCUUUCUUCCCUGCGCCCAGUGCACCAAGCCUUUCCCACCGCCAGGCCUUUGCCUAUGUGGCUCCCUGCAGCUGGAACUCUUCUACUUCAUCUUCCCGAUCUCAGGACUAGGUGUAUUGCACUCACUGCCGUGUCUACAGAACAGUGCCUGCCACACAGUGGGUGCUGAAUACAUGGAUGUUGAAUGAAUGAAUGAUCGGACUGCAGAACUCCAGGGCGGGUUCAGCGGCAGCCUAGUCAGGAAGCCAGGCCCAGGAGGGUAACUUCCAGACGUUGCCAUGACAUUUGUAAACUGUCAUGGUCCUGGUGGGAGUGUAGCAGUGAGGAAGACCAGAGUUCGCCCUCGUCGCCGUCUUGGUUUUG